UCCUUCAGACCAAUGGACCACAUCCUUUCUUUUCAAUCAUUCCUAAUUUAACCUUGUGAUCUAUUUAGUUGUAUGUUUCUCUUUAUUUCCCCAGUCAGAACCAGGGAUCAUUAUUCUGUCUGGAGUACUUCUCUGCAGUACUAAUGGCCUCCCAAGUGCCCAUCAGGUACCUCUGCUCAACAGGGUGACAAGACAGCUGCUUGGGUGCCCUAUGGUUAUCAUGGCUUCCCACUGGUCAGCCAGAAAUGGUGACUCCUUAUAGCUCACCAUCAAAUCUGAGCUUCCUGACUGUGACCCCAGGCAUCCACCAUUAGGGCUGUUCUGACCAGUGUGAGUAGGUAUCUAUAAUCUCUGAAUUAGCACCACAAUCAAAGUAGAUACUUGUGAAUUAGGUUAAACCCCACAAUACUGGAAAAUAAAAUUUAAGAGGAAGCCAGUUGAAAUAAACGUCAGGGCCUUUUUAACUCAUACUCUGUCACUGUCCCAGGGAAAAUCAUCAGCUCCGGUAAUGAU
rnacentral:lncRNA from 1 species